GACGAACGCUGGCGGCGUGCUUAACACAUGCAAGUCGAACGGAAAGACCCUGCUUUUGUGGGGUGCUCGAGUGGCGAACGGGUGAGUAACACGUGAGUAACCUGCCCUUGACUUUGGGAUAACUUCAGGAAACUGGGGCUAAUACCGGAUAGGAGCUCCUGCUGCAUGGUGGGGGUUGGAAAGUUUCGGCGGGUGGGGAUGGACUCGCGGCUUAUCAGCCUGUUGGUGGGGUAGUGGCUUACCAAGGCUUUGACGGGUAGCCGGCCUGAGAGGGUGACCGGCCACAUUGGGACUGAGAUACGGCCCAGACUCCUACGGGAGGCAGCAGUGGGGAAUAUUGCACAAUGGGCGGAAGCCUGAUGCAGCAACGCCGCGUGCGGGAUGACGGCCUUCGGGUUGUAAACCGCUUUCGCCUGUGACGAAGCGUGAGUGACGGUAAUGGGUGAAGAAGCACCGGCUAACUACGUG
rnacentral:rRNA from 1 species